CUAUAAAAGCAAGUUCCUUCCGAACCCUAAUUCAAUAAAAUCCCCAGUCAAAACUCCUUAGCCGUCAGUUAUUUCAAUUCUUGUUUUUGUUCUUCGUUUGACAAUGUUUUCUUUAGAUCGCUUUCGAAAGGCGUUGCGCUCUUCGUCAUAGAGUUUUUGUAACUCUGAAGGGCGUGUCACCGAAAGCGUAUAAUCAAAAAUCUUCAAUACGAUUCUUUAGGAUUUUGCGAAAUUCGGAUUCGUUCGAAUUAGUAAAAACCUAAGAACCGAUGGCUUCUUUUCGUCUCCAUCGAUUAAUCGUAUUGAGAAAUUUCGAAUCUAAAGUUAGAUCUAGUUUUUGUGCGAAAUUGAUGGAUUUAGAAUUGGGAAAUUGCUUCAUAAUGGUGAACUCUCUUAGAUUAUAAAAAGUGAGAGAUGUUCAAGUUUCCGGAGCAAAUAUUAAACUGGCCAGAAUUUAACAGCUCUGUGUUUAAAUUUUACUAUUUUCACAGUGUUACCUGUCUUCUGGUAUAUUUCAUUAAAUUUCAUCACCCAAUUUUUUUGUUUUACCUGUUCUCUCACCAACACAAAUCUUUG
rnacentral:lncRNA from 1 species